GCUAGCGUAGCUCAAUUGGCAGAGUACCUGAUUUGUAAUCAGGUGGUUGCGGGUUCAACUCCCGCCGCUAGCU
rnacentral:tRNA from 2 species